rfam:Pseudomonas fluorescens F113, complete genome.
CUUGAUGGUGGCUGUGCGCAGGGCGCCCUCGGGCGCGCCGGGCUUCGUUUUUCCACCGGUCGACUAACCUGCGUCCAGCCGCCACCCUU